rnacentral:rRNA from 1 species
CCUACGGGCGGCUGCAGUGGGGAAUAUUGGACAAUGGGGGGAACCCUGAUCCAGCCAUGCCGCGUGUGUGAAGAAGGCCCUCGGGUUGUAAAGCACUUUCAGUGAGGAAGAACGCCUGGUGGUUAAUACCCAUCAGGAAAGACAUCACUCACAGAAGAAGCACCGGCUAACUCCGUGCCAUCAGCCGCGGUAAUACGGAGGGUGCGAGCGUUAAUCGGAAUUACUGGGCGUAAAGCGCGCGUAGGUGGCUUGAUAAGCCGGUUGUGAAAGCCCCGGGCUCAACCUGGGAACGGCAUCCGGAACUGUCAAGCUAGAGUGCAGGAGAGGAAGGUAGAAUUCCCGGUGUAGCGGUGAAAUGCGUAGAGAUCGGGAGGAAUACCAGUGGCGAAGGCGGCCUUCUGGACUGACACUGACACUGAGGUGCGAAAGCGUGGGUAGCAAACAGGAUUAGAUACCCCAGUAGUC